AGUGAACGCUGGCGGUAGGCCUAACACAUGCAAGUCGAACGGCAGCACAGUAAGAGCUUGCUCUUACGGGUGGCGAGUGGCGGACGGGUGAGGAAUACAUCGGAAUCUACUUUUUCGUGGGGGUUAACGUAGGGAAACUUACGCUAAUACCGCAUACGACCUACGGGUGAAAGCAGGGGAACUUCGGACCUUGCGCGAUUGAAUGAGCCGAUGUCGGAUUAGCUAGUUGGCGGGGUAAAGGCCCACCAAGGCGACGAUCCGUAGCUGGUCUGAGAGGAUGAUCAGCCACACUGGAACUGAGACACGGUCCAGACUCCUACGGGAGGCAGCAGUGGGGAAUGUUGGACAAUGGGCGCAAGCCUGAUCCAGCCAUACCGCGUGGGUGAAGAAGGCCUUCGGGUUGUAAAGCCCUUUUGUUGGGAAAGAAAAGCAGCAGGUUAAUACCCCGCUGUUCUGACGGUACCCAAAGAAUAAGCACCGGCUAACUUCGUG
rnacentral:rRNA from 1 species